UACAGAGGGUGCGAGCGUUGUUCGGAAUUAUUGGGCGUAAAGCGCUGGUAGGUCGCUUGGAAAGUCGCGUGUGAAAGCUUCCGGCUCAACCGGAAAAGUGCGCGCGAAACUGACGAGCUUGAGUGCCGGAGAGGGUCGCGGAAUUCCCGGUGUAGAGAUAGAAAUUCGUAGAUAGUCGGGAGGAACACCAGAGGCGAAGGCGGCGACCUGGAAGGUAACUGACACUGAGCAGCGAAAGCGUGGGUAGCAAACAGG
rnacentral:rRNA from 1 species